CUCGCUUUCCUUGCCUGAGGUGAUAGACCUGUCCUGCAGGCAUGGGGCCCCUGAGCUAGGGGAAGCCUGAGAUCCCUGGUGCCACUGGACAAGACUUAAGCUUGGAGAGGGAAUUGGCCCUCCCACAGGCCAGAGUCCUCCUGUCAGUGCAACAGAACCUGAGGGGCUACAGAACAAUUCUGGAACAGUGUGCUACAAGUCUGAGUGCUGGGGAACCAACCCUGGGACUCACACAUGAUCUGGAUCAUUAGUGAACAUCUGGAGAAUGCUGGGAAAACAGGAGGAUUCUUUUGUUGUUGUUGCUGUUUUGGUACCAGGGAUCGAACUUGGGUCCUUGCUCUUGUGCAGCAGGCUGUGAAACCACUGAGAAAAGGCUGUGUUCAGCAAUUGCAACAUAGGUGUCUGUGGACCCAUCUGAAGUUUUUUGUAAUUUAUGCCAACAAGUAAAAUGAUGUCCCACCAGUGGUUCUCCCUCCCUGGAAGAUGGAUCUAUGCUUGUAUAUUUAUUAGAGACUUCCACUGAUUUACUACAGAAGACACCUGGAUUUUCCUCUUCGCCCUGAAUGAUCCAUUCACCUUAUCAUAAUUUACAGAUUUUUAAAAUAUGCCUUUCAUCCCCAUGGCCAUCAGGCAUAUAUGUAAAUUACCUGAAUUUUGUUAGAAGAAACAAGGAAGAAAUCUAGCCCAAUUCAAAAGAAAAGAAGAAGGAAGUCCAUACAUUGCCUAAAAUUGGAGGCUUAUCUCCUGCUUACAAGAGUGAGAUUUCCCCGGAUCAUAA
rnacentral:lncRNA from 1 species